UACGAAGGGGGCUAGCGUUGCUCGGAAGCACUGGGCGUAAAGCGCACGUAGGCGGCUUGGCAAGUGGAAGGUGAAAUCCCUCGGCUUAACCGAGGAACUGCCCUCCAAACUGCUUUGCUUGAGGCCGGGAGAGGCGAGUGGAAUUCCCAGUGUAGCGGUGAAAUGCGUAGAUAUUGGGAGGAACACCAGUGGCGAAGGCGGCUCGCUGGACCGGUACUGACGCUGAGACGCGAAAGCGUGGGGAGCGAACAGG
rnacentral:rRNA from 1 species